CUUGGUCAUUUAGAGGAAGUAAAAGUCGUAACAAGGUUUCCGUAGGUGAACCUGCGGAAGGAUCAUUAUUGAAUAAAUUUGGUUGGGCUGUUGCUGGCUCCUAGGAGCAUGUGCACGCCUAGCUCCAUUUUUACCACCUGUGCACCUUUUGUAGACCUGGAUAUCUUUCGAGGAAACUCGGUUUGAGGACUGCUGAGCGAAAGCCCUAGCUUUCCUUACAUUUCCGGUCUAUGUCUUUACAUACCCCAUAUGAAUGUAACAGAAUGUCGUUUACUGGCCUUUGUGCCUUUAAUCAAAUACAACUUUCAGCAACGGAUCUCUUGGCUCUCGCAUCGAUGAAGAACGCAGCGAAAUGCGAUAAGUAAUGUGAAUUGCAGAAUUCAGUGAAUCAUCGAACCUUUGAACGCACCUGGCGCUCCCUGGUAUUCCGGGGAGCAUGUCUGUUUGAGUGUCAUUAAAUUCUCAACCUUUCCAACUUUUGCGAGUUUGGUUAGGCUUGGAUGUGGGGGUUGCGGGCUUCACAGAAGUCGGCUCCUCUGAAAUGCAUUAGUGAAACCUUUGUUGAUCAUCUCUUGGUGUGAUAAUUAUCUACGCCACUAGAGUGUCAGCCUCAACUAGUUGAGAGGUUUUUGCUUCUAAUCGUCCUCCAAGGACAACUUCUUUACUUUUUGACCUCAAAUCAGAUAAGACUACCCGCUGAACUUAAGCAUAUCAAUAAGCGGAGGA
rnacentral:rRNA from 1 species